rnacentral:rRNA from 1 species
GAUGAACGCUGGCGGCGUGCCUAAUACAUGCAAGUCGAGCGAACAGAUGAGGAGCUUGCUCCUCUGACGUUAGCGGCGGACGGGUGAGUAACACGUGGAUAACCUACCUAUAAGACUGGGAUAACUUCGGGAAACCGGAGCUAAUACCGGAUAAUAUAUUGAACCGCAUGGUUCAAUAGUGAAAGACGGUUUUGCUGUCACUUAUAGAUGGAUCCGCGCCGCAUUAGCUAGUUGGUAAGGUAACGGCUUACCAAGGCAACGAUGCGUAGCCGACCUGAGAGGGUGAUCGGCCACACGGGAACUGAGACACGGUCCAGACUCCGACGGGAGGCAGCAGUAGGGAAUCUUCCGCAAUGGGCGAAAGCUUGACGGAGCAACGCCGCGUGAGUGAUGAAGGUCUUCGGAUCGUAAAACUCUGUUAUUAGGGAAGAACAAAUGUGUAAGUAACUAUGCACGUCUUGACGGUACCUAAUCAGAAAGCCACGGCUAACUACGUG